UGGAGAUAAAGAAUGAGAUUCUCAAACAUGAAGGGCGCAACCCAUAGGACCAGUGCUGGCUGGAGCAGCCUUCCAAACACACAGUCAACAGAACAACAGCGGCCAUCAGUUUGGGGAUCGUUUCCAUUCUAAGGGACAUCAAGACACAGAGGGAAGAAUACUUUGGAAAGAAGCCAGCACCCGGACCACUGACUCCACAGAAACUGCAGACACACAGCUUGUUCAGAGACAAGGAAAUGGGGGCAUCUGCCUGUCCUAAGCUUUACGGACACUGGGGACAGGCACCUGUACUAGAUUCUGGCAUAUUCAGUACUUUUUUUGUGGUAAUGUAGUCCACUUUUUGUUUAUUUGGGUUACCCAGAACCCAUAAUUCAUCCCUUACCAAAUUGAAACUUUGCCCAUGCAUUACCCAUUAUAAAUUAGUUCUCAACUCUGUCAUUCAUGAAGUUAGAGCUAGGCCAUCUGCUCUGAAAAAAGAAUUACCUACUGGGUAUCUCUGGCUAAUAAAAGGUUGCAUGUAUUUGCU
rnacentral:lncRNA from 1 species